CCCUUGGCUCAACGAAGACGUCCCAUUGCAAAUACCGUCUCUCUCUCUCUCUCUCUCUCUCUCUCUCUCUACGCCGACCCACCAAUCUCACUGCUCUCUCACCACACCCACCCACCAAGCUCGAUCGAGUUGUGUUACGGCUCGAAUGGCGGCGAUUGGGUUCCUUCCCGGACUGUCCACAACCGAGUCGAAUCAACUCGCAAUUGAAGGGCUACUUUCGUCUUGGUUCGAAAAUCACAGCUGAUACAAAUGGCAUACAUACAAUCAGUGCAAGGAAGAUUAUUAUAGACUAAACAAAAGGGAGAUGGGUUGUCUGAUGCUUCAUCAGUGUGAAGCUUCAUCCAGAGUGAUACUUCUUUUUCAUAAUCCAUGCCUUCCUUUUAUGGUGUCAUUCAGCCUAUGUGCGGUGAAUGUCAAUAAUUAUCAAUAUUUAGGUUCUUGAGAUGUUUUGUAUGUUUUUAUAGGUUAUACAGCCUUUGCUAUAUAUAUUUAGAAGCAGGGGAAAAAGAUUCUACGUGUUGCUAUGUUUAGGUUCUUGAGUUGUUAUAUACAGAUGUGCCUACGCCUCUUAUAUGAGAGGGAACUUUUUGUUUGAGCAAGAUCAAAAUAGGGACGUGGCAUUAAAGAGUUUCAAGAAUGCCAGCCAUGCAAGAGAAUCUAGCUAAGAUGAAGCAGUUUGUGUUGAGCACGAUCAGCCAAUUACCUCAACAAGCAACUGAAGUGGUGGAAAUGACUGAAUUGGAUAGCAGCUCCUGUGCUCCUUUGACACUAAGAUUGCCCUGGAAUCAAUCCGUUUUGUGAAUGGCAUUUUUAGGUAGACCAAUAUGAAUUCAAGUAGAAUUUCAAUACUGUUGCACUCCUCAUAUUUCAGACCUUUGAAGUUGAACCAUUUUCAGAAUUUCAAUACACACUACUUGACCAAGAAAAAAAAUUGCACUCUCCUUGCUAAUUCAUUUUAGGUGUUCAAAAAUGUAUUGCGUCGUGCCUUCAGGCACGGGUUA